rnacentral:rRNA from 1 species
UAGUCCACGCCCUAAACGAUGCUUACUGGAUGUGUGUUAAUGUUAUGCGCAUCUGAGGGAAACCAUUAAGUAAUCCACCUGGGGAGUACGAUCGCGAGAUUGAAACUCAAAGGAAUUGACGGGGGCCCGCACAAGCGGAGGAACAUGUGGUUUAAUUCGAUGAUACGCGAGGAACCUUACCUGGACUUAAGUGUAGAUUGCAUAGAGUGGAGACAUUCUUUUCUUCGGACUAUUUACAAGGUGCUGCAUGGUUGUCGUCAGCUCGUGCCGUGAGGUGUCGGGUUAAGUCCCAUAACGAGCGCAACCCUUAUCCUUAGUUGCCAGCGGGUCAUGCCGGGGACUCUGAGGAGACUGCCACCGUAAGGUGUGAGGAAGGUGGGGAUGACGUCAAAUCAGCACGGCCCUUAUGUCCAGGGCUACACACGUGUUACAAUGGACGGUACAAAGGGCAGCUACCUGGUGACAGGAUGCUAAUCUCUAAAGCCGUUNUCAGUUCGGAUCG